UGGGGAAUUUUGCACAAUGGGGGAAACCCUGAUGCAGCGACGCCGCGUGAUUUAGAAGGCCUUCGGGUUGUAAAAAUCUUUUCUAUGGGAAGAAAAUGACAGUACCAUAGGAAUAAGGACCGGCUAAUUACGUGCCAGCAGCCGCGGUAAUACGUAAGGUCCGAGCGUUGUCCGGAAUCAUUGGGCGUAAAGGGUACGUAUGCGGGUAAGCAAGUUAGAAGUGAAAUCCUAUAGCUCAACUAUAGUAAGCUUUUAAAACUGCUCAUCUUGAGGUAUGGAAGGGAAAGAGGAAUUCCUAGUGUAGCGGUGAAAUGCGCAGAUAUUAGGAGGAAUAGCGGUGGCGAAGGCGACUUUCUGGCCAUAACCUGACGAUGAGGUACGAAAGCGUGGGUAGCAAACAGG
rnacentral:rRNA from 1 species